UAGACCUCCCCUGUCUUAGUUUUAAACCGUUUCCCUUUGUCCUAUCACUAUCCACCCUUACAAAAGAUAGGAUCUGAUAGAUCUGCUUUCCCUGCAGUGGUUGUGGGUAGGUUUGUCUUCUCUGAGCUGAGAGGAAAGCCAUAUAGGCAGCGAUUUGCCUUUUAAAGUUUUGCUUCACUGCACACCAUGCCUCACUGACUUGUACAGCUCCUUUCAGGCACUUCCUCGAGUUUUAAUGUGACACCAUUUCCAUAAUAUGUAAUAAACACCACUGAGACUGAUAGUUCAGUUUUGAACAGAGUAGAUGUAGUGAGAUCCCUGUUGCUGAAAGAAUAACAAGGCUGAAAAAUCCUCUGCGCUUCAAUAUGCAGUAUUGCCUGCUGCACUGUGCCAUAAUGUCUGCUGAAUGCCUGCCUUCCUCCUCACUUCCCACACAGUAACACUUUAUCUGAGGGGAAAACAGAGUGUAGUUACUGCAGAAACCACUCCCAGCUGAGACAGGUGCCUCAGGGGAAGUGAAGGGAAUAGAAAUGAGAGAGAGAGAGCCAUAUGCUUCUGGGUUUAUGUUAAGUUUGUAGAUUUGGACUUUAUGACUGGCACCUUCUCUUGGCAUGUUAGUUCUGUCUGCCCCUCCCUUCUACAGAGCUGGUUGUGCAGAUGGAGGUAUGGAAAUGCUCUGCGUUGGCAGUGAAGUGACCACAUCUGAUAAGGAAGUCCUGAGCUAUAAGAACUGCUGUACAUAGGAGGAUUUAAAUGUUGUAAAACUACAUUCCUGCUAAUCUAUACAUGAACUGUGAAAACACGAGGGCUUACCCCAAUGGUAAGGUAACGGCUGUUUUAGUGAGGACCUCACAUGGAUCAACUGCAACAAGGGAUCCUGGAGAGAGGUCUUGGAGAACAGAAGAGGUGCCUGAAGACUGGUGGAUAGCCAGUGUCACUACGGAAAGGGCAAGAAGGAGGAUCCAGGAAACUACAAGCUAGUCAGUCUCACCUCUGUCACUGGGAAAGCGACAGGACAGCUUGUUCUGGAUGCACCUCUAAGCAAUUGAAAGAAAAGAUUAUCAAGUGUAGUCAGCAUGGAUUCACCAAGGGGAAAUCAUGCUCAACCAACCUCGUAGCCUUCUAUGAUGGGGUCUCUGGCUGGGUAGAUGAGGGGAGAGCUGUGGAUGUUGUCUACGUUGACUUCAGCAAGCCUUCUGAUGCUGUCUCCUGUGUCAUCCUGAUAACAAAGCUGAGGAAGUGUGGGAUAGCUGAGUGGACAUUGAGGUGGCUUGAGAACUCGCUGACUAGCUGAGCUGAAGGGGUGGUGAUCAGUGAUGCAGAGUCUGGUUGCAGACCUAUGACUAGCAGUCCCCCAGGGGUUGGUGAUGGAUCUGGUCUUGUUCAAUGUCUUCAUGGAUGACCUUGAUGAGGAGAUAGUGUCCACUCUCAGCAAGUAUGCCGAUGCUACAAAGCUGAGUGGCUGACACCUGAUGGCUGUGCUGCCAUUCAGCAAGACCUGGACAGGCUGGAAAGCUGGGCAGUAAGAAACCAGGUGAGGUUUAACAAAAGCAGGUGUAGAGUCCUGCACCUGGGUAGAAAUAACUGCAAGUAUCAGUACAGGUUGUCUCAUAACCUGCUGGAGAGGAGCUCUGUGGAGAAGGAUCUGGGGGGCCUGGUGGACAAAAGUUUGGCCAUGAGCCCUUGUGUAUGCUCUUGUGGCCAAGAAUGCCAAUGGAAUCCUGGGGUGUGUUAAAAGGAGCAUGGCCAGCAGGUCAAGAGAGGUGAUCCUCCCCCUCUACUCUGCCCUGGUGAGGCCUCAC